rnacentral:rRNA from 1 species
AGUGAACGCUGGCGGUAGGCCUAACACAUGCCAGUCGAACGGCAGCACAGUAAGAGCUUGCUCUUACGGGUGGCGAGUGGCGGGCGGGUGAGGAAUACAUCGGAAUCUACUUUUUCGUGGGGGAUAACGUAGGGAAACUUACGCUAAUACCGCAUACGACCUACGGGUGAAAGCAGGGGAUCUUCGGACCUUGCGCGAUUGAAUGAGCCGAUGUCGGAUUAGCUAGUUGGCGGGGUAAAGGCCCACCAAGGCGACGAUCCGUAGCUGGUCUGAGAGGAUGAUCAGCCACACUGGAACUGAGACACGGUCCAGACUCCUACGGGAGGCAGCAGUGGGGAAUAUUGGACAAUGGGCGCAAGCCUGAUCCAGCCAUACCGCGUGGGUGAAGAAGGCCUUCGGGUUGUAAAGCCCUUUUGUUGGGAAAGAAAAGCAGCAGGUUAAUACCCCGCUGUUCUGACGGUACCCAAAGAAUAAGCACCGGCUAACUUCGUG